GCAUAUUAUACAUCAAUUAUUAGCAAAAUCACGUGAAAUGGAAAUGAAUUUGGAUUAUUAUCUAAAACAUGACAUGUAAGAAUAGAAAAAUAUUGAAACAAAAAACCUUUUUAAUAAAACUAAUAUUUGUAUUAUAAGAGUUGUAAGUACACAUAUAAUCCAUGUAUCUAAUAUUCUACGCCACUGCGAAAAUGACAUUUAAAAAAAAUUAACUACUCAUCGUAGACAAUUUCAAUAGACAAGUAUAGAUUAGAAUUAACUACUAAAUGUAAUAAUCCCCACAACAAAUGUGGUAUACACAUGUACAGUAAUUAAGUCCAAUUGUAGAUGUCAUCCCUCCAUUGUCACAAGUCUGCCUAUAGUCGUCAUCCUUCAAUCAUCAACUGCACAAAAUCACAGCAAAAUCUUGGAUAAAUUCAUAUAGAAAAACCGCUUCAAUUUUCAACAACAAACAAAUAAAAUACAAGUUAGCAUAAAUCCAUUGCAAAACAAACAAAUAAAAUACAAGUUAGCAUAAAUCCAUUGCAAAACUAUGCUAGCCUGAUAGAUACAAUAAUUCGAAGUCUGUUUUCUUUUUUAUAAAAAACGCAAUACCUGGUACAUGCAAAUUCCGGUUUUAUUUGCUGAAGGGUUGGCACUGCCAUCCUCUGAGGCCUCAUCUUCUCCAUUGGCUACAAAUAUUCCACUGCCAGUAAUCUCCUUCAUCUUAUACUCUGAACAUGGCUUUCUGGAAAUUCAACAGCCAAAAAAAUUCAGAAGCCUCGCAAGGAUGGACAAAAAACACCAAGCAAAACUGAUCUAGGAUUAUAAGUUCAGUUCAUAAAUGAUACAAAACUUGAGCUAGUAUUCACCUCACACUAGUCUAGAAACACAUAUUUAAGCUGUUAAUAAAGCAGCAGGGCAGAUUAAACUA
rnacentral:lncRNA from 1 species